GACGAACGCUGGCGGCGUGCCUAAUGCAUGCAAGUCGAGCGGGCUACAGUCUUCGGAUUGUAGCUUAGCGGCGAACGGGUGAGUAACACGUGGGUAACCUGCCUGGAAGACAGGGAUAACGAUUCGAAAGGGUCGCUAAUACCUGAUAAUAUCCUUUCAUCGCAUGGUGAUAGGAAGAAAGGGGAAACCCGCUUUCAGAUGGGCCCGCGUCCCAUCAGCUAGUUGGUAAGGUAAAGGCUUACCAAGGCGACGACGGGUAGCCGGUCUGAGAGGAUGUACGGCCACACUGGGACUGAGAUACGGCCCAGACUCCUACGGGAGGCAGCAGUUGGGAAUCUUAGGCAAUGGACGAAAGUCUGGACCUAGCGACGCCGCGUGAGGGAAGAAGGCCCUUGGGUUGUAAACCUCUGUCAUGGGGAAGAGUAAGUGACGGUACCCAAGAGGAAGCCCCGUGCUAACUACGUG
rnacentral:rRNA from 1 species